rnacentral:rRNA from 1 species
UACGUAGGGUGCGAGCGUUGUCCGGAAUUAUUGGGCGUAAAAGGGGCUCGUAGGCGGUUUGUCGCGUCGGGAGUGAAAUCCACUGGCUUAACUGGUGGCUUGCUUUCGAUACGGGCAGACUGGAGGUAUGCAGGGGAGAACGGAAUUCCUGGUGUAGCGGUGAAAUGCGUAGAGAUCAGGAGGAACACCAAUGGCGAAGGCAGCUCUCUGGCUUCACCCUGACGCUGAGGCGCGAAAGCGUGGGGAGCGAACGGG